GGGCCUGUUGAGAGGAGAUAACAAAUUGGCCAAAGUUAAUCCCUGUGAGUGUGAAUGACUUUCAAUAAACGAAGCUUUUCACAUCAAUGAUCAUGACAGAUUAUUUUUUGGACUCAGGACAAUUCUGGGCUGUGGCACACCUUUCUCUUGUGUACAUCCUGAAGCAGAAGCCAUCUCGGACCCUCCCCGCUCUCCCCUGGCGCUGCAGAGCACUUGCUUUACUGACAAACGUCUCAACCAAAGAACUCAUCUGACUGCUUUC